GAUGAACGCUGGCGGCGUGCCUAAUACAUGCAAGUCGAGCGAAAAGACGAGGAGCUUGCUCCUCUGACGUUAGCGGCGGACGGGUGAGUAACACGUGGAUAACCUACCUAUAAGACUGGGAUAACCUCGGGAAACCGGAGCUAAUACCGGAGAAUAUAUUGAACCGCAGUGGGGGAUAGUGAGAGACGGUGUUGCUGUCACUUAUAGAUGGUUCCGCGCCGGAUUGGCUAGUUGGGAAGGUAACGGGUUACCAAGGCAACGAGGCGUAGCCGACGUGUGAGGGUGGUCGGCCACAUUGGAACUGGGACAGGGUCAAGACUCCUACGAGAGGGAGCAGUAGGGAAUCGUACGCAAUGGGCGAGAGCAUGACGGAGCAACGCCGCGUGAGUGAUGAAGGUCUGCGGAUCGUAAAACUCUGUUAUGAGGGGUGAACAAAUGUGUAAGUAGCUAUGCACGGCUUGACGGUACCUAAUCAGAAAGCCCCGGCUAACUACGUG
rnacentral:rRNA from 1 species